rnacentral:rRNA from 1 species
AUUGAACGCUGGCGGCAUGCCUUACACAUGCAAGUCGAACGGCAGCACGGGAGCAAUCCUGGUGGCGAGUGGCGAACGGGUGAGUAAUAUAUCGGAACGUGCCCAGUCGUGGGGAUAACGUAGCGAAAGCUACGCUAAUACCGCAUACGAUCUAUGGAUGAAAGCGGGGGAUCGCAAGACCUCGCGCGAUUGGAGCGGCCGAUAUCAGAUUAGGUAGUUGGUGAGGUAAAGGCUCACCAAGCCGACGAUCUGUAGCUGGUCUGAGAGGAGACCAGCCACACUGGGACUGAGACACGGCCCAGACUCCUACGGGAGGCAGCAGUGGGGAAUUUUUGGACAAUAGGGCGCAAGCCUGAUCCAGCAAUAGCCGCGUGCAGGAUGAAGGCCUUCGGUU